rnacentral:rRNA from 1 species
GGUAUGGGGUUGUAGGAGCCCGACAUGGGAUUCAAAGAUAUAUAGCGGAACAGUAUGGAAAGGCUGACCGUAGACGGUGAUAGUCCGGUACGUGAAAUAUAUCUUGACCCUAGGGAUUUCCUGAGUACCACGGGACACGUGAAACCCUGUGGGAAUCUGGGAGGACCAUCUUCCAAGGCUAAAUACUAACCGAUGACCGAUAGUGAACGAGUACCGUGAGGGAAAGGUGAAAAGAACCCCGGGAGGGGAGUGAAAUAGAAACUGAAACCGUUAGCUUACAAGCAGUAGGAGCACUAUGUAUUUAUACAGUGUGACUGCGUGCCUUUUGCAUAAUGAGUCAACGACUUACCCUAUGCAGCGAGGUUAAGCCGAGAGGUGGAGCCGCAGCGAAAGCGAGUCUUAACUGGGCGUAUAGUUGUAUGGGGUAGACCCGAAGCCGGGUGAUCUAUCCAUGGCCAGGGUGAAGUCUCGGUAACACGAGAUGGAGGCCCGAACCGAUAUAGGUUGAAAACUGUUCGGAUGAGUUGUGGAUAGGAGUGAAAGGCUAAUCAAACUCGGUGAUAGCUGGUUUUCUCCGAAAUAUAUUUAGGUAUAGCCUCGCAUGUUGACUGACGGAGGUAGAGCACUGACAAGACUAGGGGUCCCACCGGAUUACCAACUCUUUUCAAACUCCGAAUACCGUCAAGUUCUAGUGCGGGAGUCAGACUACGGGAGAUAAGUUCCGUGGUCGAAAGGGAAAGAACCCAGACCGUCAGCUAAGGUCCCCAAAUCUAUGCUAAGUGGAAAAGGAUGUGGAAUUGUUUAUACAACCAGGAGGUUGGCUUAGAAGCAGCCACCCUUUAAAGAAAGCGUAAUAGCUCACUGGUCUAAUGAUACCGCGCCGAAAAUUUAACGGGGCUAAGCAUAGUACCGAAGCUACGGAUUGAAAUUUAUUUCAAUGGUAGGAGAACAUUGUGGCCGCCUGAGAAGGUACACCGUAAGGAGUGCUGGAGGUUCCACAAGAGCUUAUGUUGACACGAGUAGCGAAAAACAAGGUGAGAAACCUUGUCGCCGAAAGCCUAAGGUUUCCUGUAGUCAAGUUAAUCUGCUCAGGGUUAGUCGGCCCCUAAGGCGAGGCCGAGAGGCGUAGUCGAUGGGAAACAGGUUAAUAUUCCUGUACCACUUUCAUAAUGUUAUGGUAAGGGGGGACGGAGAAGGUAAGGCCAUCCGGGCGUUGGUUGUCCCGGUUUAAGCGCGUAGGUUUGGUACUUAGGCAAAUCCGGGUACCUUUAAGACUGAGGCGUGAUGACGAUGUCUUUUAGACAACAAAGUGGCUGGUUCCAUGCUUCCAGGAAAAUCCUCGUAUCUAGUUAUGAUUGUGACCGUACCGUAAACCGACACAGGUAGGCAGGUAGAAGAUACCAAGGCGCUUGAGAGAACUCUGGUUAAGGAACUCGGCAAAAUAGCACCGUAACUUCGGGAGAAGGUGUGCCUGCAGGGUGAAGUUAUUUACUGACGGAGCCCAGUCAGGUUGCAGUGAAAUGGGGGGAGCGACUGUUUACUAAAAACAUAGGACUCUGCGAAGUCGAAAGACGAAGUAUAGGGUCUGACGCCUGCCCGGUGCCGGAAGGUUAAGGGGACAUGUCAGCCGCAAGGUAAAGCAUUGAACCGAAGCCCCGGUAAACGGCGGCCGUAACUAUAACGGUCCUAAGGUAGCGAAAUUCCUUGUCGGGUAAGUUCCGACCU